rnacentral:rRNA from 1 species
GAUGAACGCUGGCGGCGUGCCUAAUACAUGCAAGUCGAGCGAACGGACGAGAAGCUUGCUUCUCUGAUGUUAGCGGCGGACGGGUGAGUAACACGUGGAUAACCUACCUAUAAGACUGGGAUAACUUCGGGAAACCGGAGCUAAUACCGGAUAAUAUUUUGAACCGCAUGGUUCAAAAGUGAAAGACGGUCUUGCUGUCACUUAUAGAUGGAUCCGCGCUGCAUUAGCUAGUUGGUAAGGUAACGGCUUACCAAGGCAACGAUGCAUAGCCGACCUGAGAGGGUGAUCGGCCACACUGGAACUGAGACACGGUCCAGACUCCUACGGGAGGCAGCAGUAGGGAAUCUUCCGCAAUGGGCGAAAGCCUGACGGAGCAACGCCGCGUGAGUGGUGAAGGUCUUCGGAUCGUAAAACUCUGUUAUUAGGGAAGAACAUAUGUGUAAGUAACUGCGCACAUCUUGACGGUACCUAAUCAGAAAGCCACGGCUAACUACGUG